rnacentral:misc_RNA from 1 species
GAAAUGCGAUAAGUAAUGUGAAUUGCAGAAUUCAGUGAAUCAUCGAAUCUUUGAACGCACAUUGCGCCCGCCAGUAUUCUGGCGGGCAUGCCUGUCCGAGCGUCAUUUCAACCAUCAAGCCCCCGGGCUUGUGUUGGGGACCUGCGGCUGCCCGCAGGCCCUGAAAACCAGUGGCGGGCUCGCUGUCACACCGAGCGUAAUAGCAAUCACCUCGCUCAGGGCGUGCUGCGGGUUCCGGCCGUUAAACAGCCUUACAAAACCCAAGGUUGACCUCGGAUCAGGUAGGAAGACCCGCUGAACUUAAGC